rnacentral:rRNA from 1 species
UUGACCUCGAAUCAGGUAGGGAUACCCGCUGAACUUAAGCAUAUCAAUAAGCGGAGGAAAAGAAACCAACCGGGAUUACCUCAGUAACGGCGAGUGAAGCGGUAACAGCUCAAAUUUGAAAUCUGGCUCCUGCGGAGUCCGAGUUGUAAUUUGUAGAAGAUGCUUUGGGAGGGAGGCUCGGCCUAAGUUCCUUGGAACAGGACAUCAGAGAGGGUGAGAAUCCCGUAUGUGGCCGUGGCCUCCGCCCGUGUAAAGCUCUUUCGACGAGUCGAGUUGUUUGGGAAUGCAGCUCAAAAUGGGUGGUAAAUUUCAUCUAAAGCUAAAUAUUGGCCAGAGACCGAUAGCGCACAAGUAGAGUGAUCGAAAGAUGAAAAGCACUUUGGAAAGAGAGUUAAACAGUACGUGAAAUUGUUGAAAGGGAAGCGCUUGCACCCAGACUUGGGCGUCGUCGAUCAUCCGAGGUUCUCCUCGGUGCACUCGGCGAGGCACAGGCCAGCAUCGGUUUGGAUGGUUGGAGAAAGGCUCUAGGAACGUAGCUCUCUUCGGGGAGUGUUAUAGCCUAGGGCGUAAUGCAGCCCAUCGGGACCGAGGACCGCGCCUUCGGGCUAGGAUGCUGGCGUAAUGGUUGCAAGCGACCCGUCUUGAAACACGGACCAAGGAGUCUAACAUCUAUGCGAGUGUUUGGGCGUUAAACCCAUACGCGGAAUGAAAGUGAACGUAGGUGAG